CUCACGCUCACACUCCGCUCUGAUAAGCUCUACCCCGCUCCCGCCCCUUCUCCUUCCAAAGCGAUCGACCUAGGGUUUCGAAAAAUCCCCCGAUCGAGCUCCUUUCGCCCCGUAUCCCUCGACCAAACCCUAGAUUGCGACAGCUUUCCAUCGGAUUCUUCGCCGCCAUGGACGAGGAGAACACGGGGCCGUUUCGCCGGACCUCGACCCGGACGAGGAAGAUGGCGACGAAGAUGGCCGUGGCACUCGCCAGCACCGAUAAUCGCACCCAGGCAGCGCUAGCUCGGCUUGAGGCGUUGGAGAAUGACAAUGCUGGAGCAGAUAAUGUAGAGACCAACGAUGACGACUAUGAUUCUCUUGAUGAUGAAGACCAAGUGUACAUCCAAAAAAAGCAGUCAAAAAACAUGAAACGCAAGACCCGGCAGGCAAAAGCACUGGAGAAUGCAAAGAAGGCACCCAGAACAUUCAUGGAAGUGUUACAAGAGGCGAAUCUAGAGUCCCUGCCUCCCCAUGUCCCAACCUAUUUGAGGGCGGCUGUUGGUCCACCGAGCACGCGGUCUCGCCGCCAUUUCUGCACAGUAUGUGGUGAUGCCGCCAACUACACGUGUGUGAGGUGUGGAAUGCGGUUUUGUUCUUGCAAAUGCCAGUGUGAGUCAAGCUUAAGUGGAUCUACAUCAGUUCCAACUGGAGAUCUUUCUAGGUAGCUCAUUAUUCUCAGGCUGUUCUUUUCAAAGUUUUAUGUGCUUAUUACUUGGUAUUGUUUCAGAAGAAAAUGUCUACCUGUUGAUCCUGCUGAAUCAUCUGUAGCACACGGGAAGGUCAGCCGGAGGCGGCUCCAGAGACUGCAACUCUCCAAGUCCAUUCUCCACCAGGAAGGCCAUGGCUAAACCCCAGGUGAUAUGCACUUCCAAAUGGCAGUGCACGAGCCAGACCCCGGGGUUGUUU